rnacentral:rRNA from 1 species
UACGAGGGGGGCAAGCGUUGUUCGGAAUUAUUGGGCGUAAAGGGCGCGUAGGCGGUUUGACAAGUCUUAUGUGAAAUCUCUGGGCUCAACCCAGAGUCUGCAUGGGAAACUGUCGGGCUUGAGUAUGGGAGAGGUGAGUGGAACUGCGAGUGUAGAGGUGAAAUUCGUAGAUAUUCGCAAGAACACCAGUGGCGAAGGCGGACUCACUGGCCCCGAUACUGACGCUGAGGCACGAAAGCGUGGGGAGCAAACAGG